UACGUAGGGUGCGAGCGUUGUCCGGAAUUACUGGGCGUAAAGAGCUCGUAGGUGGUUUGUCGCGUUGUUCGUGAAAACUCACAGCUUAACUGUGGGCGUGCGGGCGAUACGGGCAGACUGGAGUACUGCAGGGGAGACUGGAAUUCCUGGUGUAGCGGUGGAAUGCGCAGAUAGCAGGAGGAACACCGGUGGCGAAGGCGGGUCUCUGGGCAGUAACUGACGCUGAGGAGCGAAAGCGUGGGGAGCAAACAGG
rnacentral:rRNA from 1 species